rnacentral:rRNA from 1 species
GUAGCGUAUAUUAAAGUUGUUGCAGUUAAAACGCUCGUAGUCGAACUUCGGGCCUGGCGGGAUGGUCCGCCUUACGGUGUGUACUAUUCUGCUGGGCCUUACCUCUUGGUGAGACCUCAUGCUCUUUAUUGGGUGUGGGGUGGAACCAGGAAUUUUACCUUGAGAAAAUUAGAGUGUUCAAAGCAGGCAAACGCCCGAAUACAUUAGCAUGGAAUAAUAGAAUAGGACGUGCGGUUCUAUUUUGUUGGUUUCUAGGAUCGCCGUAAUGAUUAAUAGGGAUAGUUGGGGGCAUUAGUAUUCAGUUGCUAGAGGUGAAAUUCUUGGAUUUACUGAAGACUAACUACUG